ACGUAGGAGGCGAGCGUUAUCCGGAUUUACUGGGCGUAAAGCGCGUGUAGGCGGUCUGACAAGUUGGAUGUGAAAGCUCCUGGCUUAACUGGGAGAGGUCGUUCAAAACUGUUAGACUUGAGAGUGGUAGAGGGAGGUGGAAUUCCGGGUGUAGUGGUGAAAUGCGUAGAUAUCCGGAGGAACACCAGUGGCGAAAGCGGCCUCCUGGACCAUUUCUGACGCUCAGACGCGAAAGCUAAGGUAGCAAACGGGAUUAGAGACCCCGGUAGUCUUAGCUGUAAACGAUGUGAACUAGGUGUCGGUGGGUUCAAAUCCAUCGGUACCGAAGCUAACGCGAUAAGUUCACCGCCUGGGGACUACGGCCGCAAGGUUA
rnacentral:rRNA from 1 species